UGGGCUCAGGAUGAACGCUAGCGGCAGGCUUAACACAUGCAAGUCGAGGGGCAGCGGGGAGGAAGCUUGCUUUCUCCGCCGGCGACCGGCGCACGGGUGAGUAACACGUAUGCAACCUGCCCCUGUCAGGGGGACAACCCGCCGAAAGGCGGGCUAAACCCGCGUACGUGCCACCGGGGCAUCCCGGAGGCAGGAAAGGCUUCGGCCGGACAGGGAUGGGCAUGCGGCGCAUUAGGCAGUAGGCGGGGUAACGGCCCACCUAACCGACGAUGCGUAGGGGUUCUGAGAGGAAGGUCCCCCACACUGGUACUGAGACACGGACCAGACUCCUACGGGAGGCAGCAGUGAGGAAUAUUGGUCAAUGGUCGGGAGACUGAACCAGCCAAGCCGCGUGAGGGAGGAAGGUACAGAGUAUCGUAAACCUCUUUUGUCAGGGAACAAAGACUGGGACGCGUCCCCGGAUGAGUGUACCUGAAGAAAAAGCAUCGGCUAACUCCGUGCCAGCAGCCGCGGUAAUACGGAGGAUGCGAGCGUUAUCCGGAUUUAUUGGGUUUAAAGGGUGCGCAGGCGGUCUGUUAAGUCAGCGGUCAAAGCCCGGGGCUCAACCCCGGCCCGCCGUUGAAACUGGCAGUCUCGAGUUGGAGAGAAGUAUGCGGAAUGCGCGGUGUAGCGGUGAAAUGCAUAGAUAUCGCGCAGAACUCCGAUUGCGAAGGCAGCAUGCCGGCUCCACACUGACGCUGAGGCACGAAAGCGUGGGUAUCGAACAGGAUUAGAUACCCUGGUAGUCCACGCAGUAAACGAUGAAUGCUGGCUGUCCGGGGGGACUGACCCCUGGGUGGCGAAGCGAAAGCGAUAAGCAUUCCACCUGGGGAGUACGCCGGCAACGGUGAAACUCAAAGGAAUUGACGGGGGCCCGCACAAGCGGAGGAACAUGUGGUUUAAUUCGAUGAUACGCGAGGAACCUUACCCGGGCUCAAACGGGGAGUGGCGCAGGCAGAGACGCCUGUUUCCCACGGGACACUCCCCGAGGUGCUGCAUGGUUGUCGUCAGCUCGUGCCGUGAGGUGUCGGCUUAAGUGCCAUAACGAGCGCAACCCCCGCGUGUAGUUGCUAACAGUCAACGCUGAGGACUCUGCACGGACUGCCGGCGCAAGCCGCGAGGAAGGCGGGGAUGACGUCAAAUCAGCACGGCCCUUACGUCCGGGGCGACACACGUGUUACAAUGGGUGGUACAGCGGGAAGCCAGGCGGCGACGCCGAGCGGAACCCGAAAUCCACUCUCAGUUCGGAUCGGAGUCUGCAACCCGACUCCGUGAAGCUGGAUUCGCUAGUAAUCGCGCAUCAGCCAUGGCGCGGUGAAUACGUUCCCGGGCCUUGUACACACCGCCCGUCAAGCCAUGGGAGCCGAGGGCGCUUGAAGUGCGUCGCCGCGAGGCGCGCCCUAGAGCGAAAUCGGUGACUGGGGCUAAGUCGUAACAAGG
rnacentral:rRNA from 1 species